GGUAAGAGUACUCCCUGUGGGUUUGGAUGUCCAACGUUUGACCGUCCGUUUUAUUUGAAAUUUUUUUAUAAUUAAUAUUUUUAUUAUUAUUAGAUAAUAAAAUAUAAAUAGUAAUUUAUGUAUGACUUAAUUUUUUAAAAAAUCAUAAAUUUUUCAAAUAUGUAUGACUUAAUUUUUAAAAAAAAUCAUAAUUUUUUCAAAUAAAAUGGACGGUUAAAUGUUGGACACAGAAACUUACGGUACACUUAAA
rnacentral:pre_miRNA from 1 species